AGGAUCACUGAAAUUGACCCCUCAGGGAAAGGUCCACGCUGCUUUUAUGAGCUGUAACACUCACUGCGAAGAUCUGCAGCUUCACUCCUGAGCCCAGCGAGACCAUGAGCCCACCGGGAGGAAGGAACAACUCCAGACAUGCUGCCUUAAGAGCUGUAACACUCACUGCGAAGGUCUGCAGCUUCACUCCUGAGCCAGUGAGACCACGAACCCGCCACAAGGAAGAAACUCUGAACACAUCAUCUGAACAUCAGAAGGAACAAACUCCAGACGCGCCACCUUAACAGCUGUAACACUCACCGCGAGGGUCCGCGGCUUCAUUCUUGAAGUCAGUGAGACCAAGAACCCACCAAUUCCGGACACACCAGGACCUUCCGCUGCUCGCUCCUCCUCGUCCCUUCUACCCGCUGGGGUCAGCCUCAUCGACCCCGUCUCAACUCUGACACAGUCUCUCUCUCUCUCUCUCUCUCUAUAUAUAUAUAUAUAUAUUUUUUUUUUAGAUGGAGUCUCGCUUUGCUCCCCAGGCUGGAGUGCAGUGGUGCAAUCUCUGCUCACUGCAAGCUCCACCUCCUGGUUUCACGCCAUUCUCCUGCCUCAGCGUCCCAAGUAG
rnacentral:lncRNA from 10 species